UACAGAGGGUGCAAGCGUUGUUCGGAAUUAUUGGGCGUAAAGCGUGCGUAGGUGGUUGUUUAAGUCUGUUGUGAAAGCCCUGGGCUCAACCUGGGAACUGCAGUGGAAACUGGACAACUAGAGUGUGGUAGAGGGUAGCGGAAUUCCCGGUGUAGCAGUGAAAUGCGUAGAGAUCGGGAGGAACAUCCAUGGCGAAGGCAGCUACCUGGACCAACACUGACACUGAGGCACGAAAGCGUGGGGAGCAAACAGG
rnacentral:rRNA from 1 species